rnacentral:lncRNA from 1 species
AUGGAAACAAUAAAACUGCAGCGAUUUCGGGCCCCAGCUCCGCCGUCUCCCAUUGUAAACGUGGAAGUGCCGGAGCGGGGAGGCAGUAAUUACCCUGACAUCUGCGGCUCCCCGCGCCUGGGCGCGCGCCCGCACCGGCGCACCCGGCGCACCCGCAGGUGCCCUGCCCGCGCCCGCUCCGGAGCUUCUGCAGGAACCGGGAGGCGCCRGCUGCGAACACGUUUGCCAUCGGAGAAAACAAAAAUGCGCGUGUGCACGCGUGUGCGCGCACGUGUUGGUGCAUGCGCGUGUGCACACGUGUGUUGGUGCACGUGUGUCCAUGCAUGCAUUGGUGCACGCGUGUGUGUGCAUGCGUUGGUGCAUGUGGGCACUGGCUUCCCUGCCUGGCUCGGCCCUGCCUGCGCCGGGCUGGAUCCCUCCGAUAGCAGGAGAGGAGCAAACAUGGGGAAACCUGCAGCAGCAGCGGCAGCAGGGUCCCGCGGGGCCGUUCCCGCGCCGCGGAGGCUCCGCGCACACAGUUCAGGGUGGCCCCGGGGACGUGUUUCCUUCCAGAGAGGCUCCGUCGCGGCUCUGCUCCAAAAUGCACAGAACCACCCGGAUAAAGAUCACGGAGCUCAACCCCCACCUGAUGUGCGCCCUGUGCGGCGGCUACUUCAUCGACGCCACCACCAUCGUGGAGUGCCUGCACUCCUUCUGCAAAACCUGCAUCGUUCGCUACCUGGAGACCAACAAGUACUGCCCCAUGUGCGACGUCCAAGUGCACAAAACCAGGCCCCUGCUCAGCAUCAGGUGAGGCCUCCUGCGGCUCCCCCCAGGCAGGGAUGCGGCACACCGGGAUGCGGCGCGCUGGGACGCAUCGCGUGGGGAUGCAGCGCACUGGGAUGCAUUGCGUGGGGAUGCAGUGCGCAGGGAUGCAUUGCAUGGGGAUGCGGCAUGCCAGGAUGCAUUGCACUGGGAUGCAGCGCACCAGGAUGCAUUGCAUGGGGAUGCAGCACGCAGGGAUGCAGCACGCAGGGAUGCAUCGCGUGGGGAUGCAGUGAGUGAGGAUGCGUCGCGAGGGGUGCAGCACGCAGGGAUGCAGCACGCCGAGAUGCAGCGCUACGGGAUGCAACGUGCACCCCCAGCGAGGCCGCGCUUGGAGCAUCCCGCUUGGAGGGGCCGGCGCACCUGGGCCCGCGCAGGCGUCGUGCGGACGAGGAGGGACCGUUGCAUCCCUGCAGCGUUAAACCCCUCUGCUCCGGGCCCCUCAGCCCGCAGCGCCUG